rnacentral:tRNA from 1 species
GGUCUCAUGGUGUAACGGUUGGCACUCUGGACUCUGAUUCCAGCGAUCCGAGUUCAAAUCUCGGUGAGACCU